CAUUUUAGCCGCUCGGUUUAGCUCUGUGAAAAAAUACAACGUAAUUCUACAGACAGCCGCUUUAAAACAGAAAAAAAUAUAAUAUAAUAUACUAUAUAUAUAUAGCAUAAAGCAGACGGAUAAAGCUCUGCCAUUCGUGGGAAUGGUCCGAACACUGAUUGACCUGUUGACAGCUUUGGACAGCUUGUGUGUUCAGAAGAUUUGGGGAGUAAAGGAGUGGAAGUGGAAACACUAAAAUGACUAACGCAUUGACUGUAUAGCCUCUUGUACACAAGACUGUACCUGUGGAAGUGGGAUUUAUGUGAAUGAAUAGUUCCAGCUAAUUUUCUUGCUUGCAGUAUCACAGACUCAAUUUUUUUGAGUGACUGUUUUGAGAUGUUCUGCAAAAAACAGACAUAUUGAGAAAGCAGACCGUGCUGAAAAUUUUUAUUUGUAUUUUUUUUGGACUGUGGGGAAAGGACAACUUGCAAAUUUUCUUGCAAGCUCUUUGAGUAAAGGAGCAAAUUCCCUCUUCAUAUUGCUUUUGCGGUUUGGAGU
rnacentral:lncRNA from 1 species